UGGAAAUCGCAAUGAUCAACAUGUGGCGAUCAUCUCAAAGAGCUAGUUGGCCUUGGCGUGAUAAGUACAGCCCGCUUGGCCACUACUUCGUGGUAGUGCGCGGCCAUGUGCGAGGAGGUCCUUCUCGGCCUGCGUUUCUUCUCUGUGGUCGCCAUCUUUUCCCAGCAAUUUGCAAAAGACCCAUACGCAAGGGCCGACAAGCACCGGCGGGCUCACAUAUGCAUGCCGAUUACUGCAGGGACCAGACCGGCUGAACAAGGGCUCCUAGAUAUGUCGUAUGCCUGGGCAAGUUCAUAGAAGGUGACA